rnacentral:rRNA from 1 species
AUUGAACGCUGGCGGAAUGCUUUACACAUGCAAGUCGAACGGCAGCACGGGAGCUUGCUCCUGGUGGCGAGUGGCGGACGGGUGAGUAAUAUAUCGGAACGUAUCUAUUAAUGGGGGAUAACUAGCCGAAAGGUUAGCUAAUACCGCAUACGCCCUGAGGGGGAAAGCUGGGGAUCUUCGGACCUGGCGUUAAUAGGGCGGCCGAUACCUGAUUAGCUAGUUGGUGGGGUAAAGGCCUACCAAGGCGACGAUCAGUAGCUGGUCUGAGAGGACGACCAGCCACACUGGGACUGAGACACGGCCCAGACUCCUACGGGAGGCAGCAGUGGGGAAUUUUGGACAAUGGGGGCAACCCUGAUCCAGCCAUUCCGCGUGAGUGAAGAAGGCCUUCGGGUUGUAAAGCUCUUUCGCAAGGGAAGAAACGAUGUAAGUGAAUAGCUUAUGUUAAUGACGGUAC